AUCUCCCCUCCUUGAAAGCAAAGGAAAAAAGACCACUGUUUAAAUCUGCGUUGCCCCCCCCCCAAAGCCACCCCGGCUGGGGAGCCCGAGGGGCAGACCGGCCAGAGGAGCCGCGCAGCGUCCGCUUCAAUUCACUCGGCUUAGGAGUGGGGGUGCGCAGGAGGAAGGGGGUGGAGGAGCUGGGGAAAAAAAUAGAAGACCGAAAGGUGACGGGGCAGCUCAGUUCGCCGAGAAUCCAGCUCUCGGCUCCAGCACGGCCAAGCCGCCACAGUGUGGUUGCCCUAUAAGACUGGUACGCCCUACUCUCCGUAACAAUGGCCUCUGCUUUUGCACAGGGAAAAAAAACCACACAGACACACACACACUCACUCACACACAGGCUCACACACAUCCCCACCUCUCCCCCUUUAGCAAGCUUAGAUGCCUGAUAAGGAGGGAAGGUGGUGGUGGUGGAGGGUGGAAAUUUUAAAACCCACACCCCCCAAAAAAAGAGUGAAAAGAAAAGAAGGCAGAGGGCGUUCCUUUUAUUUUUAAGAACAGGUAAAUUUUAAAAUUGAUAUUGGGGGUUCAGGGAGGAAGAGGAGAGCAAAGGCAAGGAAGGCCAGUGAAGUUCACAGCUCCCCCCACUAGUGAACCCUUAUGCUAAUUUGAAAAGUAGCGAUGGGAGGCUGAGUCAAAGGCAGGCCUCCCCCUGGGUGGGGGUGCAGGAUGCCCCUCUGGAGUUCAUUCGCAGUUAGAACACUAGGACUUUUUAAAGAAGUAGUUUCACUCCUGCGGACUGGUGGCUGGGUCUCCUGCUUCUCCCACUCCGACUCCCUUCUCCUGAGCCUCCGGCCUCUGCUCCUCCACACCCUCUCUAUUUCAAUUUCUUCUUUUUUCUCUCUUUCUGAAAAUCUCCAGGCUCAGUCUCUAACCAAGGGAGGAGGAAGGCCGGACCUUUUUUAUUUUAUUUAUUUUUUUUUUAGAACAGACAACAAGCGGUGAGUGAUGAUUUUUAAAACUCAGAACAUCUUGUGGGGGGAGGAGGGUUGGGAAGAGGGUGACAAAAGGAGGACCCUGUGUUUAGCUUAAGGUCCAGACUGGCUGGCAGUAAAGAUGCUGUAAGAACUUUACAGAGAAGUUUCUGUUAAGAUUCUCACCUCUGGAUAGGCAGAAGGGGCUAAGAGGUGAUAAGGAUAUUUGUGCUUCUAAGAAGAUGAGAAGAACUAGCAGAAUGACUUAAUUUUAAAUGCACUGGCAGAAGAGAAGGAGAAUAGUUAUUAUUAUUAUUCAGAAUAAACCUGUUUGUUUCUCUCUGCUCUGCAAGAUUUAUGACUCUUGGCACAAGUGAGGAAGGCCACAAAAGCUAAAUUUUUCUUAGGUUGUAUUUGAGCAGAGUGGUAAAAGGCAAGGAGGAGGCCCGUAGGAGGAAGAAAGGAGCUAAGAAUGUAGGUGUCUGCACAUUUGAAGUGGGGGUGGGGAAGUCAUUGGAGAGGAGGAAAAAGACAAAAAGAGCACCGGGACAUUUCCCAAAGCAGAAGUGUUUGCAAAUCUGCCUAACUGCUGACUCAGAGCUUAGGGGAUAAAAUAGAAGGCAGAAAGUCUCCCUUUUCUACAAAAGCAGUUUAGAAAACUGGUUCUCUUAACUUCGAAUAGAACCAGCCACUAACUUGUCAUUUCGUGGUUAGGAUACUUGGCUUUUGCCUUCUCCCAUCUGGAUGCACCAGGAGAGGCCACUGGGACUGGGGAAGACAAAGGUCAGCUAAGUCAGGCCAGCAACAAGAAAAGAAAAUGUCUAAGCCAGACCCAAUGUUGGGGCUGAAGCCAAGAUCCUCAAAGAGACCCGCUAGGGCCACCUCAAAGAAGUCUGCCCUGAGAUCUCUAAACCCUGAUUAGAGACCUUCAGGAUUAGACCCCAUGUAACUUUGGUCCUAGUGAGUCACGGACUGGCCCAGGGAGGCUCCCAGAGCUUAAGGGAACCAGCACCUUUGGUUAUUUUUCUCUCUCCCUUCUGAAAAUAAAAAAGUUGAGACUGCCUCCACCCCUCUCCUAGCUGUUACUACUACCACUGAUGACUGGGAAAUUGAGAGAAAAGAAGAACCUAUUGCUUCAGGGACUGCACAGCUUUGCCUUGAGGAAUAAGAAGAGAGUCCAAAGGGCACCCAGCCAGCUGCUGGCCUGUAAGAAGAGAAGCGGGCCUGGGCCUGGAACUGAGCUGUGGGCGGAGGAGUGUUCCAGAGACAGCGGUGAACCUCUCCUCUCCCCAAGCUUCCUCGACCUUUUGUGGUCCCUCUGGCUACACAAGACAGUAGGGUGGAGUGGAGUGGGAAUGAAAAGGAGGGCUGAGGAGCAAGGAAACAACCUGGAGAAAAUUUCAGAGGACAUGUACCCACAAAUGCAGAAGGAGAUGAAGGGAGGGCUUCCUAAUUUUGGACAACAAAGCCCAUUUGGGCAACUAGAUCCCAGUUCGGUUUCUUUCUUCCCAUUUUUCUUCCUUUCUCAGAGGCUUCUGGCUAAGAGGCCGGGUGCCCCUGAUUGGGGCUGGCAGGCUGGAAGGGAGAUGAUAGAACAGGCACCCCCAAGAGUGCCCCUUUCAUUCGAGGUGUUCCUGCAGGCUAGGGGCUUUUCCAACUUCAGGGGACAAAGAUUGGGUAGUAAAGAGCUUUAGCAGGGAACUUGUGAUGGUGGACACCCGAAGGAUCUCAGGGAAGACUUUGGGGUGUGGGAAAAAAUGGGAUGGGGAGAAGGGUUUAAUCAUCUCUGACAGUGAAGUCAUGAUUAAGAGGCAGACUGGAGAGGAGGGACCAAUUUCUUCCUGGAUUCAGGGAGAGAAAUUUGGGCAACUCUGUGUGUGUCUGGGUGUGUGUGUCUGUGUAUGAGGAGGAGGGGUUGGGGAGAGAAAGAGAAAUCGAAAAGAAAAAGAAAAUUGAGAGACAGAGACAUUAGUGUAAAGUAAUAAAGGCAACAAUAAUAAACGUAAAGAUUAGAGAAAAUGUCCCUCUUCGCAGACAUCUUUUCCUCUUUCUUUCCAUUUCCACAGAGCCACAACACUCACUAGGGGACAGGGAACACUUUUUUUUUUUUUUUUGUAGAGACAGAGUUUUACUUUAUCACCCUCAGUAGAGUGCCAUGGCCUCACACUACUCACAGCAACCUCCAACUUCUGGGCUUAGGCAAUUCUCUUGCCUCAGCCUCACAAGUA